GGGGGCGAAACGGUUUCGACGGGAGCUGUAGCGGCCAGAAGGCAUGCCGGGCGCCACCUGCCCGCAAUCGGGUGGAAAAACUAAAGAUGCCAAUACCAAUCUGGCUCUAGCUGCCUAACCAAAAGUUAGCGUAGCUCGUCUCCCCGGGCGUGCCCGCGCACCCGGAUCGAGGCGUCACUUAGCGGGCUGGCCUUCCGUCUUUCGGUCCGUAGGACGGUGGCGAGAUCAAUCGGACUAGUCGGUUCCGUUUCUUGCCCACUCUGAGCGUCGCCGGCGAACCCAAUGGAAUGGGAUAAGCAUGUAGUCUUCUGGUUGCAAGGCUCUUCGGACGGGGGUUCAACUCCCCCCGCCUCCAUAG
rnacentral:tmRNA from 1 species